GUUUCCUUGGAAUGCUCGUAGACUUGUAUAUUUUGAACCUACAUUUAUCGAGACGGGAUUCCUAUAUCUUUGCAUGGAUGUCAGGCCUCAUAUAUGCCGUCAGUACAUAGUACAGGUGGCUAGCUAGUGGAAGGCAGAAGUGUGAAUGCGGUUGCCCACCUGGCGCAAGCUAGGACUCAAAAGGCAAGGACGGCAUUUCGAGUAUAAA
rnacentral:other from 3 species